CACAUAAUUACAAUGUAUGUUGUGACAAUAAUAGAGUACACGACAUGUACAGUAAAGUUGCUGAGCUGAAAACUCGGAGAUAUUUUUUACUUACAGUGCUGAUCUUGAGGCUGCAAAUAUGGCGUCAAAUAUACAGUAGGACAACUCCAUGCUCUGCUGGUUCUCUAACUGUCCGUGUAUAGACAGCAACAACUGGACCUCGUUAAAAGGCGGGAGGACAGGGGCACCCCCAGGGAAGAUACUUGUAGCUCUUGGCUCAAACACAACAAAAAGGUCGACAAGUGUUUGAAGGUUGUCUCUGGUCAGCUGAGAGGGAGUGUCAGUGCUGGCUAGACAGCAGUCUCAGCACAAUAUUGCAGGAUGCCGGGAAAUCGAGACUGGAGAUAUGCUAAUAAUAUGGAUGCCCAACGAGAGAGGAGCUAGAAAUACGUUCCCUGACGAGCCACUAGACUUUAUUGUACUGGAUUGCUUGCACACUACCGUAGGGAUGGUUGGGCGAUGGUGUAGGGCUAAGGUUUGCAGCGACAUCGAAGUUACCACAACCAUUUUUUUCAUUCCAGCUGCAAGCUAAGUGUAUAAAUAUUGUACAUUAUAGAUAAGGUCUUUUCCUAAUUUCUAUACAUUUUCUCUCAAGUAUCAAAACAGCCCAGUUAAGCGUGUGAACCUUCGACCCCAAAGUCGCUAAUGUUAAGGGGAUGCAAAGUACCAAAUUUACCUAUUCCAAAUGGGUAACAGAACAUUUCAAGCUAAAAUAAACCCUGCAAAAACCCCACCCCAUAAGCAGUUUGUGUAGUGUGUAACAUAGAUUAUGUGUGACCGGAAUGUGUGCAUGUACCAGCCAUUGAACAAACAAUCAUCCAUAGUGACCGUCCAUUUAUAUAUACUAGCACUAGCAUUGUGUGUACAGUAUCAUUGUGUCUGGAACUGUAUCAUUUCCCCUCUCACUCAGGAAGGAAAGGUAGCCAUAAAGAGUGUGGCUAAUCUCCUACUGUGUAUAUACGCCAGUGGAAAUGUUGGUCUAGGACUGCUUAAGGCAAAGGCGGAUGCUCUCUCCAAACAUCUUGAAGCACCUCUGCUGCAAAUAUCUACUACAUAGCUAACUUUUUCAAUAGUAUACUUUCUAAUGAGUUGUGUAAAAUUAUAAAAUUAUUUAUUGUACAUGUAUGUCGUAUGUCAAAUCUUGUUGUGAACGUGUAUGAACUCUUGAUACUGUGAACAUGAUCUUGCAUAUGGA